GAUGAACGCUGGCGGCGUGCCUAAUACAUGCAAGUCGAGCGAACGGACGAGAAGCUUGCUUCUCUGAUGUUAGCGGCGGACGGGUGAGUAACACGUGGAUAACCUACCUAUAAGACUGGGAUAACUUCGGGAAACCGGAGCUAAUACCGGAUAAUAUUUUGAACCGCAUGGUUCAAAAGUGAAAGACGGUCUUGCUGUCACUUAUAGAUGGAUCCGCGCUGCAUUAGCUAGUUGGUAAGGUAACGGCUUACCAAGGCAACGAUGCAUAGCCGACCUGAGAGGGUGAUCGGCCACACUGGAACUGAGACACGGUCCAGACUCCUACGGGAGGCAGCAGUAGGGAAUCUUCCGCAAUGGGCGAAAGCCUGACGGAGCAACGCCGCGUGAGUGAUGAAGGUCUGCGGAUCGUAAAACUCUGUUAUUAGGGAAGAACAUAUGUGUAAGUAACUGUGCACAUCUUGACGGUACCUAAGCAGAAAGCCACGGCUAACUACGU
rnacentral:rRNA from 1 species